rnacentral:rRNA from 1 species
CCUACGGGGUGCUGCAGUGGGGGAUAUUGCACAAUGGGGGGAACCCUGAUGCAGCGACGCCGCGUGGGUGAAGAAGCGCCUCGGCGCGUAAAGCCCUGUCAGCAGGGGAGAAAAUGACGGUACCUGAAGAAGAAGCCCCGGCUAACUACGUGCCAGCAGCCGCGGUAAUACGUAGGGGGCAAGCGUUAUCCGGAUUUACUGGGUGUAAAGGGGGCGCAGACGGCGAUGCAAGCCAGGAGUGAAAGCUCGGGGCCCAACCCCGGGACUGCUCUUGGAACUGCGUGGCUGGAGUGGAGGAGGGGCAGGGGGAAUUCCUGGUGUAGCGGUGAAAUGCGUAGAUAUCAGGAGGAACACCGGUGGCGAAGGCGGCCUGCUGGACUGCAACUGACGUUGAGGCCCGAAAGCGUGGGGAGCAAACAGGAUUAGAUACCCGUGUAGUC